GAUGAACGCUAGCGGCAGGCCUAACACAUGCAAGUCGAGGGGUAACUAGAGUGAUAGCAAUAUUACUUUGGCUAGACCGGCGCACGGGUGCGUAACACGUAUGCAACCUACCUUAUACUGGGGAAUAACUUCGAGAAAUCGGCGCUAAUACCCCAUAACAUUGCGAAGAGGCAUCUCUUUGCAAUUAAAGCUCCGGCGGUAUAAGAUGGGCAUGCGUCCAAAUUAGCUAGUUGGUGAGGUAACGGCUCACCAAGGCUACGAUUGGUAGGGGUUCUGAGAGGAUGAUCCCCAACACUGGUACUGAGACACGGACCAGACUCCUACGGGAGGCAGCAGUGAGGAAUAUUGCGCAGUGGACGAAAGUCUGACGCAGCCAUGCCGCGUGCAGGAUGACGGCCCUAUGGGUUGUAAACUGCUUUUGUACGGGAAUAAACCCUUCUACGUGUAGGAGGCUGAAGGUACCGUAAGAAUAAGCACCGGCUAACUCCGUGCCAGCCGCCGCGGUAACAC
rnacentral:rRNA from 1 species